rnacentral:rRNA from 1 species
AAUAAUUUAUUUGAUGGUCACUUACUACAUGGAUAACUGUAGUAAUUCUAGAGCUAAUACAUGCGUAAAAUCUCGACUCUAGCGGGGAGAGAUGUAUUUAUUAGAUAAAAAACCAAUGCGGGUUCUGCCCGGUUUUGUGGUGAAUCAUAGUAACUUUUCGAAGCGCAUGGCUUCACGCUAGCGCUAGUUCAUUCAAAUUUCUGCCCUAUCAGCUUUCGACGGUAGUGUAGUGGACUACCGUGGCAUUAACGGGUAACGGAGAAUUAGGGUUCGAUUCCGGAGAGGGAGCCUGAGAAACGGCUACCACA